AAAGAAGAGUUCAGGUCCAUACUGACUAAUACAUCAGAUGAUGCUAGAAGGCCCUUCUGUAAUUGUCUAAUUGAUAUAUGCAGAAAGAGAAAUCGCGCAGAGAGGGCUCACGAGCUUCUAUACUUGGGAACUGUAUAUGGACUAUACCCAGGUUUACAUACUAAGACACCAGAAGAAUGGCGAUUAAACGUCCGAGCACUAUCUGUU
rnacentral:misc_RNA from 1 species